UACAGAGGUCCCGAGCGUUGUUCGGAUUCACUGGGCGUAAAGGGUGCGUAGGUGGUGAGGUAAGUCGGAUGUGAAAUCUCCGGGCUCAACCCGGAAAUGGCAUUGGAAACUACCUUGCUGGAGGGUUUGAGGGGGGAUUGGAAUACUUGGUGUAGCAGUGAAAUGCGUAGAUAUCAAGUGGAACACCAGUGGCGAAGGCGAAUCCCUGGAAAAUACCUGACACUGAGGCACGAAAGCUAGGGGAGCAAACGGG
rnacentral:rRNA from 1 species